rnacentral:rRNA from 1 species
UACGAAGGGGGCUAGCGUUGCUCGGAAUCACUGGGCGUAAAGCGCACGUAGGCGGAUCUUUAAGUCAGGGGUGAAAUCCUGGAGCUCAACUCCAGAACUGCCUUUGAUACUGGCGAGCUUGAGUUCGGGAGAGGUGAGUGGAACUGCGAGUGUAGAGGUGAAAUUCGUAGAUAUUCGCAAGAACACCAAUGGCGAAGGCAGCUCGCUGGGACGGUACUGACGCUGGAGACGCGAAAGCGUGGGGAGCAAACAGGG